rnacentral:rRNA from 1 species
GGCGUAAAGAGCUUGUAGGCGGCUUGUCGCGUCGAUCGUGAAAACUCGGGGCUCAACCCCGAGCUUGCGGUCGAUACGGGCAGGCUUGAGUACUUCAGGGGAGACUGGAAUUCCUGGUGUAGCGGUGAAAUGCGCAGAUAUCAGGAGGAACACCGGUGGCGAAGGCGGGUCUCUGGGAAGUAACUGACGCUGAGAAGCGAAAGCGUGGGUAGCGAACAGGAUUAGAUACCCUGGUAGUCCACGCCGUAAACGGUGGGUACUAGGUGUGGGUUUCCUUCCACGGGAUCCGUGCCGUAGCUAACGCAUUAAGUACCCCGCCUGGGGAGUACGGCCGCAAGGCUAAAACUCAAAGGAAUUGACGGGGGCCCGCACAAGCGGCGGAGCAUGUGGAUUAAUUCGAUGCAACGCGAAGAACCUUACCUGGGUUUGACAUACACCGGAAACCUGCAGAGAUGUAGGCCCCCUUGUGGUCGGUGUACAGGUGGUGCAUGGCUGUCGUCAGCUCGUGUCGUGAGAUGUUGGGUUAAGUCCCGCAACGAGCGCAACCCUUAUCUUAUGUUGCCAGCGCGUAAUGGCGGGGACUCGUGAGAGACUGCCGGGGUCAACUCGGAGGAAGGUGGGGACGACGUCAAGUCAUCAUGCCCCUUAUGUCCAGGGCUUCACACAUGCUACAAUGGCCGGUACAGAGGGCUGCGAUACCGUGAGGUGGAGCGAAUCCCUUAAAGCCGGUCUCAGUUCGGAUCGGGGUCUGCAACUCGACCCCGUGAAGUUGGAGUCGCUAGUAAUCGCAGAUCAGCAACGCUGCGGUGAAUACGUUCCCGGGCCUUGUACACACCGCCCGUCACGUCAUGAAAGUCGGUAACACCCGAAGCCGGUGGCCUAACCCUUGUGGAGGGANCCGUCGAAGGNGGGAUCGGCGANUGGACGAAGUCG